ACGUCGGAUGAACGCACCCGAGACGCUCUUUUUGAUUAUUGAAUUUACGUUUUUACUAAGGUUUUUGCCGAUUUUUCAGCGGUCUUCUAAGCCGUGGGUCCCAGGUUCGAAUCCUGGCUGGCGUACCA
rnacentral:tRNA from 1 species